rnacentral:rRNA from 1 species
UACGAAGGGGGCUAGCGUUGCUCGGAAUCACUGGGCGUAAAGGGUGCGUAGGCGGGUCUUUAAGUCAGGGGUGAAAUCCUGGAGCUCAACUCCAGAACUGCCUUUGAUACUGGCGAUCUCGAGUCCGGGAGAGGUGAGUGGAACUGCGAGUGUAGAGGUGAAAUUCGUAGAUAUUCGCAAGAACACCAGUGGCGAAGGCGGCUCACUGGCCCGGUACUGACGCUGAGGUGCGAAAGCGUGGGGAGCAAACGGG